GGCCGGAUGUAGCCAAGUGGAUCAAGGCAGUGGAUUGUGAAUCCACCAUGCGCAAA
rnacentral:tRNA from 1 species